rnacentral:misc_RNA from 1 species
GUGGGACUGAACGACUGAUUCUGCUGCCAUGGCCGAUAAAAUAUCUGAUGUCAGUGUUUCUCUUUGUUCUAGUUCUCAGUAUGUGACACCUUUCCGACUGCUAUAUAAACAGGAUGGUGUGAAAAAGACAUGGGACUACAUCAAAGGACAUGACAGCAUUGCAAUUCUCUUAUACAACAAGGACAGGGAUGUAUUUCCAGUUGUAAAGCAAUUCAGACCAGCGGUGUAUGCAGCCAAAAUCCAGGCAUUCACUGAUGGACAAAUAGUGGACACUGCCAAGCAUAAAGGAGAGGAAGGGAUGUGCAUUGAACUUUGUGCAGGGAUCAUGGACAAGAAUAAAGAUGUUACAGAGAUGGCUCAAGCAGAGGUCUUAGAAGAAACAGGUUACAAAGUUCCUCUGGAAAACCUCAAGAAAAUAACAAGUUUCAGGACUGGAGUCGGUGUGAAGGGAACCUUGCAGACACUGUUUUAUGCUGAAGUUACCGAUCAAAUGAAAGUCAGUUCUGGUGGGGGAUUAGUGGAUGAAGGUGAACAAAUUGAGGUUAUUGAAAUCAGUGGUCAGGAUGCCUUAGAGACCAUUAUGGACGAGACCCUUACCAAGCCAGUGGGAAUGAUGUUUGCAUUCACAUGGUUCUUUUUCAUGAAGGACAGAAAGUAGACUUUUGGUAUAACAGCUGAUACUUGCAAUAGAUUCAUGUAACGACCAAAUACUAUGGAAUGAAGUUGGUGUGAAUGGAGCAUUGAUGACACUGUUUUAUGCUGAAGUUACCGAUCAAAUGAAAGUCGAUUCUGGUGGGGGAUUAG